rnacentral:rRNA from 1 species
AGAGUUUGAUCAUGGCUCAGAUUGAACGCUGGCGGCAGGCUUAACACAUGCAAGUCGAGCGGUAGCACAGGGGAGCUUGCUCCCUGGGUGACGAGCGGCGGACGGGUGAGUAAUGUCUGGGAAACUGCCUGAUGGAGGGGGAUAACUACUGGAAACGGUAGCUAAUACCGCAUAACGUCGCAAGACCAAAGAGGGGGGACCUUCGGGCCUCUUGCCAUCAGAUGUGCCCAGAUGGGAUUAGCUAGUAGGUGGGGUAAUGGCUCACCUAGGCGACGAUCCCUAGCUGGUCUGAGAGGAUGACCAGCCACACUGGAACUGAGACACGGUCCAGACUCCUACGGGAGGCAGCAGUGGGGAAUAUUGCACAAUGGGCGCAAGCCUGAUGCAGCCAUGCCGCGUGUGUGAAGAAGGCCUUCGGGUUGUAAAGCACUUUCAGCGAGGAGGAAGGUGGUGAGCUUAAUACGUUCAUCAAUUGACGUUACUCGCAGAAGAAGCACCGGCUAACUCCGUGCCAGCAGCCGCGGUAAUACGGAGGGUGCAAGCGUUAAUCGGAAUUACUGGGCGUAAAGCGCACGCAGGCGGUUUGUUAAGUCAGAUGUGAAAUCCCCGGGCUCAACCUGGGAACUGCAUUUGAAACUGGCAAGCUAGAGUCUCGUAGAGGGGGGUAGAAUUCCAGGUGUAGCGGUGAAAUGCGUAGAGAUCUGGAGGAAUACCGGUGGCGAAGGCGGCCCCCUGGACGAAGACUGACGCUCAGGUGCGAAAGCGUGGGGAGCAAACAGGAUUAGAUACCCUGGUAGUCCACGCUGUAAACGAUGUCGAUUUGGAGGUUGUGCCCUUGAGGCGUGGCUUCCGGAGCUAACGCGUUAAAUCGACCGCCUGGGGAGUACGGCCGCAAGGUUAAAACUCAAAUGAAUUGACGGGGGCCCGCACAAGCGGUGGAGCAUGUGGUUUAAUUCGAUGCAACGCGAAGAACCUUACCUACUCUUGACAUCCAGAGAACUUUCCAGAGAUGGAUUGGUGCCUUCGGGAACUCUGAGACAGGUGCUGCAUGGCUGUCGUCAGCUCGUGUUGUGAAAUGUUGGGUUAAGUCCCGCAACGAGCGCAACCCUUAUCCUUUGUUGCCAGCGGUUCGGCCGGGAACUCAAAGGAGACUGCCAGUGAUAAACUGGAGGAAGGUGGGGAUGACGUCAAGUCAUCAUGGCCCUUACGAGUAGGGCUACACACGUGCUACAAUGGCAUAUACAAAGAGAAGCGACCUCGCGAGAGCAAGCGGACCUCAUAAAGUAUGUCGUAGUCCGGAUUGGAGUCUGCAACUCGACUCCAUGAAGUCGGAAUCGCUAGUAAUCGUAGAUCAGAAUGCUACGGUGAAUACGUUCCCGGGCCUUGUACACACCGCCCGUCACACCAUGGGAGUGGGUUGCAAAAGAAGUAGGUAGCUUAACCUUCGGGAGGGCGCUUACCACUUUGUGAUUCAUGACUGGGGUGAAGUCGUAACAAGGUAACCGUAGGGGAACCUGCGGUUGGAUCACCU